AUACAUUGGAUAUGUGCAGGUUCCCAUUCGUUUCCUGGGGAGCCACGUGUCCCUGAGGCCAGAGAGUGUCCUCACCCAGCUCAGACUGAAUGCUUUUGUUUUUGUUUCAGGGCAUUUGCACGCCAAAGGCAAAGAAGAAAAAAUGUCCAAAUCAUUAAAGAACUACAUUACUAUUAAGCCAUCGACUACAGUGACAGCGCCAUGCUCCAAGCUCAGCAGCUGCUCCUGGGGCUGGGCUCUUUCCUGGAGGAUGCACGUGCCUACAUGAAGGGGCAGCUGGCCUGCGGCUCCGUCAGGGAAGCGAUGCUGUGGGAGAGGUAAGAGGCCCGCCUAGCACCCGGCGUGGCACCCCUCCUGUGGCCUGCUGGGUGCUGCUGGUGGGCUCCUGAAGGGGAAGAGGGGCCCCCAGGAGACAGGGCGCUGGACAGGAGGUGUGGGGUCAGGGACUGCCCAGAGAGGCCCCAGGAGACAGGGUGCUGGGCAGGAGGUGCAGGUGUGGGGUCAGGGGCUCCCCAGAGGCCACAGGACACUGGGUGCUGGACAGGAGGUGUGGGGUCAGGGGCUCCCGAGACAUCCCAGGGAGACGGCGCUGGGCAGGAAGUGUGCCUGGGGCCCUCGGGCUCUGAGCCUCCUGCUCAGAGUGGCUUUGGGCUCGGGUUCCCUGUGCGAGGAGCGGAGCUGCUCAU
rnacentral:sRNA from 1 species